AAAUUGAAGAGUUUGAUCAUGGCUCAGAUUGAACGCUGGCGGCAGGCCUAACACAUGCAAGUCGAACGGUAACAGGAAACAGCUUGCUGUUUCGCUGACGAGUGGCGGA
rnacentral:rRNA from 1 species